rnacentral:rRNA from 1 species
UGCCAGCCGCCGCGGUAAUACGAAGGGUGCAAGCGUUGUUCGGAUUUAUUAGGCGUAAAGCGCGCGCAGGCGGAAAAUCAAGUCAGAUGUGAAAUCUAAGGGCUCAACCCUGAAACUGCGUCUGAAACUGGUUAUCUAGAAUCUCGGAGGGGGCAGGGGAAUUUCUCAUGUAGGGGUAAAAUCCGUAGAGAUGAGAAGGAACACCAGAGGCGAAGGCGCCUGCCUGGACGAGUAUUGACGCUGAGGCGCGAAAGCGUGGGGAACAAACAGGAUUAGAUA